rfam:Alligator mississippiensis ScZkoYb_5, whole genome shotgun sequence.
CUAAAGGCUCUUUUAAGAGCCACCACAGUCUCGAUAAAAUGAGCUGU